AUUGAACGCUGGCGGCAGGCCUAACACAUGCAAGUCGAGCGGAUGAAGGGAGCUUGCUCCUGGAUUCAGCGGCGGACGGGUGAGUAAUGCCUAGGAAUCUGCCUGGUAGUGGGGGAUAACGUCCGGAAACGGGCGCUAAUACCGCAUACGUCCUGAGGGAGAAAGUGGGGGAUCUUCGGACCUCACGCUAUCAGAUGAGCCUAGGUCGGAUUGGCUAGUUGGUGGGGUAAAGGCCUACCCAGGCGACGAUCCGUAACUGGUCGGAGAGGAUGAUCAGUCACACUGGAACUGAGACACGGUCCAGACUCCUACGGGAGGCAGCAGUGGGGAAUAUUGGACAAUGGGCGAAAGCCUGAUCCAGCCAUGCCGCGUGUGUGAAGAAGGUCUUCGGAUUGUAAAGCACUUUAAGUUGGGAGGAAGGGCAGUAAGUUAAUACCUUGCUGUUUUGACGUUACCAACAGAAUAAGCACCGGCUAACUUCGUG
rnacentral:rRNA from 1 species